CAGCUAGCUACAGACAACUUUAACAAGAAAAAUGUCCUUGGAAAGGGGGGUUUUGGAAAGGUUUAUAAAGGAGUGCUUUCAAAUAAUACUAAAGUGGCUGUGAAAUGAUUAAAUGACAAUGAGAGUUCUGGUGGAGACGCAGCAUUCCAACGUGAAGUUGAGAUGAUAACUGUAGCUGUUCACAAGAAUCUAUUACGUCUUAUUGGGUUCUACUCAACACCAAUAGAAGGCCUUUGGUGUAUCCCUUCUUGCAGAACGCCUUUUGAUUUAUUCUAGUGAAUUUUUGAAGUCUUUUGAUUUUAUAUAUAGCUAGUGCAUGGAUGUCACUGGUAGCUCAUUUGUUAAAAUAGAUUUGUAUGAAAUUAUUAUUUUAAGUUGGAAUAUACUUUGUUUGCAAUGUUGACAUUAAAAGUUAUAAUUUUGUUUGGAUGGUUG